rnacentral:rRNA from 3 species
GAGUUUGAUCAUGGCUCAGAUUGAACGCUGGCGGCAGGCCUAACACAUGCAAGUCGAACGGUAACAGGAAACAGCUUGCUGUUUCGCUGACGAGUGGCGGACGGGUGAGUAAUGUCUGGGAAACUGCCUGAUGGAGGGGGAUAACUACUGGAAACGGUAGCUAAUACCGCAUAACGUCGCAAGACCAAAGAGGGGGACCUUCGGGCCUCUUGCCAUCGGAUGUGCCCAGAUGGGAUUAGCUAGUAGGUGGGGUAACGGCUCACCAAGGCGACGAUCCCUAGCUGGUCUGAGAGGAUGACCAGCCACACUGGAACUGAGACACGGUCCAGACUCCUACGGGAGGCAGCAGUGGGGAAUAUUGCACAAUGGGCGCAAGCCUGAUGCAGCCAUGCCGCGUGUAUGAAGAAGGCCUUCGGGUUGUAAAGUACUUUCAGCGGGGAGGAAGGGAGUAAAGUUAAUACCUUUGCUCAUUGACGUUACCCGCAGAAGAAGCACCGGCUAACUCCGUGCCAGCAGCCGCGGUAAUACGGAGGGUGCAAGCGUUAAUCGGAAUUACUGGGCGUAAAGCGCACGCAGGCGGUUUGUUAAGUCAGAUGUGAAAUCCCCGGGCUCAACCUGGGAACUGCAUCUGAUACUGGCAAGCUUGAGUCUCGUAGAGGGGGGUAGAAUUCCAGGUGUAGCGGUGAAAUGCGUAGAGAUCUGGAGGAAUACCGGUGGCGAAGGCGGCCCCCUGGACGAAGACUGACGCUCAGGUGCGAAAGCGUGGGGAGCAAACAGGAUUAGAUACCCUGGUAGUCCACGCCGUAAACGAUGUCGACUUGGAGGUUGUGCCCUUGAGGCGUGGCUUCCGGAGCUAACGCGUUAAGUCGACCGCCUGGGGAGUACGGCCGCAAGGUUAAAACUCAAAUGAAUUGACGGGGGCCCGCACAAGCGGUGGAGCAUGUGGUUUAAUUCGAUGCAACGCGAAGAACCUUACCUGGUCUUGACAUCCACGGAAGUUUUCAGAGAUGAGAAUGUGCCUUCGGGAACCGUGAGACAGGUGCUGCAUGGCUGUCGUCAGCUCGUGUUGUGAAAUGUUGGGUUAAGUCCCGCAACGAGCGCAACCCUUAUCCUUUGUUGCCAGCGGUCCGGCCGGGAACUCAAAGGAGACUGCCAGUGAUAAACUGGAGGAAGGUGGGGAUGACGUCAAGUCAUCAUGGCCCUUACGACCAGGGCUACACACGUGCUACAAUGGCGCAUACAAAGAGAAGCGACCUCGCGAGAGCAAGCGGACCUCAUAAAGUGCGUCGUAGUCCGGAUUGGAGUCUGCAACUCGACUCCAUGAAGUCGGAAUCGCUAGUAAUCGUGGAUCAGAAUGCCACGGUGAAUACGUUCCCGGGCCUUGUACACACCGCCCGUCACACCAUGGGAGUGGGUUGCAAAAGAAGUAGGUAGCUUAACCUUCGGGAGGGCGCUUACCACUUUGUGAUUCAUGACUGGGGUGAAGUCGUAACAAGGUAACCGUAGGGGAACCUGCGGUUGGAUCACC